rnacentral:lncRNA from 1 species
AAGAGAUGAAAGUACCGAUACAGAAUCAAGACCUAAUAAUAAUGCUGAAGCAGUACAGGAAGCCAAGGCCAGUGUCGAUAUGGAAGAAAGAGAUGAAAAUACUGGUACAGAAUUAAGACCUUUCAAUAAUGCUGAAUCUGUACAAAAAGCCAAGGCCAGCGACAAUAUGGAAGAAAGAGAUGAAAAUACUGAUACAGAAUCAAGACCUAAUAAUAAUCCUGAAGCCGUACAAGAGGCCAUGGCCAGCGACAAUAUGGAAGAAAGAGAUGAAAGUACUGGUACAGAAUCAAGACCUAAUAAUAAUGCUGAAGCUGUACAAGAAGCCAAGGCCAGUGACAAUAUGAAAGAAAGAGAUGAAAAUACUGUUACAGAAUCAAGACCAAAUAAUAAUGCUGAAGCCGCACAAGAAGGCAAGGCCAGUGACAAUAUGGAAGAAAGAGAUGAAAAUACAGAUACAGAAUCAAGACCUAAUAAAAUUGCUGAAGCCG